AACCGCAAAGGGCUCAGUAAACCAGUUUUAAUUUACUAGAGUUUUUACGUUCUGUACGUGGAUACCUGUGGUAAUUCUAGAGCUAAUACAUGCAAUUAAGUCCGGACCAGCAAUGGAAAGGACGCUCUUAUUAGAUCAAAACCAUUCGCUUAAUUUAUUUUAGGCGUUGUUUUGAUGAAUCUAGAUAACACAUUUGAUCGUACAGUCUCGUACUGACGACGUCUCUUUCAAACGCCUGACUUAUCAGCUGUCGAUGGUAGACUCUGUGUCUACCAUGGCCCUCACGGGUAACGGGGAAUCAGGGUUCGAUUCCGGAGAGGGAGCCUGAGAAACGGCUACCACAUCCAAGGAAGGCAGCAGGCACGCAAAUUACCCACUCCCGGCACGGGGAGGUAGUGACAAAAAAUAACGAUACGGGACUCUUUUGAGGCCCCGUAAUCGGAAUGAGUACACUUUAAAUCCUUUAACAAGGAUCCAUUGGAGGGCAAGUCUGGUGCCAGCAGCCGCGGUAAUUCCAGCUCCAAUAGCGUAUAUUAAAGUUGUUGCGGUUAAAAAGCUCGUAGUUGGUUCUGCGUGCCGCGCUGUCGGUUCGCCGCCUGUCGGUGUAACUGGCAUGUCGCGGCAUGUCCUGUCGGUGGUGAACGAGAUUCCCGGCUUUAAACUUGCUUCUGUAAGUUUUUAGCUGUGUGUAAUGUCGUUUGCCGAUCUCUCCUACUCCGGUGCUCUUAAACGAGUGUCGAGGUAGGCCGACACGGUCACUUUGAACAAAUUAGAGUGCUUAAAGCAGGCUGAAAUAUCUGCCUGAAUAGUAGUGCAUGGAAUGAUAAAAUAGGACCUCGGUUCUAUUUUGUUGGUUUUAGGAANNAUGANGGUAAUGAUCAAUGUGGACUGGCGGGGGCAUUCGUAUUGCGAC
rnacentral:rRNA from 1 species